rnacentral:rRNA from 1 species
CGCCCGUCACACCAUGGGAGUUGAUUGCACCAGAAGCAGGUAGCCUGACCGCAAGGAGGGCGCCUACCACGGUGUGGUCAAUGACUGGGGUG